AGCCUUCCGAAAGGAAGAUUAAUACCGCAUAACAUACACAUUUAGCAUUACGAGUGUAUCAAAGGAGAAGUCCGCUUUGAGAUGGGCCCGCGGCGCAUUAGCUAGUUGGUAGAGGUAACGGCUCACCAAGGCGACGAUGCGUAGCCGACCUGAGAGGGUGAUCGGCCACAUUGGAACUGAGACACGGUCCAGACUCCUACGGGAGGCAGCAGUGGGGAAUAUUGCACAAUGGGGGAAACCCUGAUGCAGCAACGCCGCGUGAAUGACGAAGGCCUUCGGGUCGUAAAGUUCUUUGAUGGGGGAUGACAAUGACAGUACCCCAAAAACAAGCCACGGCUAACUACGUGCCAGCAGCCGCGGUAAUACGUAGGUGGCGAGCGUUGUCCGGAUUUACUGGGCGUAAAGGAUGCGUAGGUGGAAACUUAAGUGGGAUGUGAAAUCCCCGGGCUCAACCCGGGAACUGCAUUCCAAACUGAGUUACUAGAGUGCAGGAGAGGAAAGCGGAAUUCCUAGUGUAGCGGUGAAAUGCGUAGAUAUUAGGAGGAACACCAGUGGCGAAGGCGGCUUUCUGGACUGUAACUGACACUGAGGCAUGAAAGCGUGGGGAGCAAACAGGAUUAGAUACCCUGGUAGUCCACGCCGUAAACGAUG
rnacentral:rRNA from 1 species